rnacentral:tRNA from 1 species
GGGGUUGUGGCUCAGUGGUAGAGUGCUUGCCUAGCACACAUGAGGCACUGGGUUCAAACCUCAGCACCA